AUGACUUUCAGUAAAUCUCAGGGUUUAUAGAGUCAGCAGAUGUGUGGGGCUCUGUUCCCUUUAGCUCAUCAUGCAGAAAUCCCAGCAUGAACAAAGCAACAAAUAAACAACGGAUCACUGCACUAAUGGGCUGUGGCUUCCUGGUUUUAUGUUGAGAUAUUUCCUGCCUCAAAUUGAAGGUCUUUCCCCCUUUAUUUGUUUUAUGAACUGUCCUAUAUAAAGCUAAGGAGGAUUAUUAGAUGUACUUUGAAUUAAUCCCUAAAACUGCUGCAAAUUACGAUUAGAAAGCUAAAACGUGCAGAGCUUGAAACCYCUUGCGUUGAAUGAAAGAAUAAUAAAAAAAAUGACUUCAAGGGAAUUAAAGAGGCAAGGUCGCGCGCGCCGUAAUGGAACGUGACCCUCCCCGCGUGCUCGUGUUGCUAGGAGGCGCUGUUGGAGCCCGGAAGAGCUGGUGGUCAUCAUCAUGAUGGUCAAACCGAGAUUGAGAGCGGAGACAAGGGGAGAGUCACCGGUAAAGUCGCCGCAUUGAGRUUCUCGGCGACGCCGGCUCUACGGAGAACGGGAAACGAGACCGAAUACAUUUUUUAAACACAACUGCAGCUUGGCGACGAGGCUACAUGGUGUGUGUUUCCUGCCCAGAGGGCGGAUGUGCGGGCGUUCGGGGAUGGAGAGCUACGAGGAGUUCUGUCUGCGGAGUUUGGUCGCGCUGCAGGAGGAGGGGAAACUCAAGAGGAAGACGUGUCAGCCAUUGUGCUCCCUGAAAAUGGCUCGCUCUCUCAUUUGCUUUCACGGAAGAGCCAUUCUUUCACCUCUGCUGAGUGCAGAGCAACGGACUGAGAUGUGUGGCUACAGACAAAGAGCUGUCCAAUUGGAACUGAACAGACAGAARGAGCAGAGAAACAAGCUGCUGAGUCAAGUUCAGAACAUACUGGAUCAGGUCAGUAGCACAGAGUGUGG